rnacentral:rRNA from 1 species
AGAGUUUGUCCUGGCUCAGAACGAACGCUGGCGGCGUGGAUAAGACAUGCAAGUCGAACGAGAGAAUUGCUAGCUUGCUAAUAAUUCUCUAGUGGCGCACGGGUGAGUAACACGUGAGUAACCUGCCCCCGAGAGCGGGAUAGCCCUGGGAAACUGGGAUUAAUACCGCAUAGUAUCGAAAGAUUAAAGCAGCAAUGCGCUUGGGGAUGGGCUCGCGGCCUAUUAGUUAGUUGGUGAGGUAACGGCUCACCAAGGCGAUGACGGGUAGCCGGUCUGAGAGGAUGUCCGGCCACACUGGAACUGAGACACGGUCCAGACACCUACGGGUGGCAGCAGUCGAGAAUCAUUCACAAUGGGGGAAACCCUGAUGGUGCGACGCCGCGUGGGGGAAUGAAGGUCUUCGGAUUGUAAACCCCUGUCAUGUGGGAGCAAAUUAAAAAGAUAGUACCACAAGAGGAAGAGACGGCUAACUCUGUGCCAGCAGCCGCGGUAAUACAGAGGUCUCAAGCGUUGUUCGGAAUCACUGGGCGUAAAGCGUGCGUAGGCUGUUUCGUAAGUCGUGUGUGAAAGGCGCGGGCUCAACCCGCGGACGGCACAUGAUACUGCGAGACUAGAGUAAUGGAGGGGGAACCGGAAUUCUCGGUGUAGCAGUGAAAUGCGUAGAUAUCGAGAGGAACACUCGUGGCGAAGGCGGGUUCCUGGACAUUAACUGACGCUGAGGCACGAAGGCCAGGGGAGCGAAAGGGAUUAGAUACCCCUGUAGUCCUGGCAGUAAACGGUGCACGCUUGGUGUGCGGGGAAUCGACCCCCUGCGUGCCGGAGCUAACGCGUUAAGCGUGCCGCCUGGGGAGUACGGUCGCAAGAUUAAAACUCAAAGAAAUUGACGGGGACCCGCACAAGCGGUGGAGUAUGUGGCUUAAUUCGAUGCAACGCGAAGAACCUUACCUGGGCUUGACAUGUAAUGAACAACAUGUGAAAGCAUGCGACUCUUCGGAGGCGUUACACAGGUGCUGCAUGGCCGUCGUCAGCUCGUGUCGUGAGAUGUUUGGUUAAGUCCAGCAACGAGCGCAACCCCUGUUGCCAGUUACCAGCACGUGAAGGUGGGGACUCUGGCGAGACUGCCCAGAUCAACUGGGAGGAAGGUGGGGACGACGUCAGGUCAGUAUGGCCCUUAUGCCCAGGGCUGCACACGUACUACAAUGCCCAGUACAGAGGGGGCCGAAGCCGCGAGGCGGAGGAAAUCCUAAAAACUGGGCCCAGUUCGGACUGUAGGCUGCAACCCGCCUACACGAAGCCGGAAUCGCUAGUAAUGGCGCAUCAGCUACGGCGCCGUGAAUACGUUCCCGGGUCUUGCACUCACCGCCCGUCA